rnacentral:rRNA from 1 species
GAUGAACGCUGGCGGCGUGCUUAACACAUGCAAGUCGAACGGAAAGGCUCCUGCUUGCAUGGUUUCUCGAGUGGCGAACGGGUGAGUAACACGUGGGUGAUCUGCCCUUCACUUCGGGAUAAGCCUGGGAAACUGGGGCUAAUACCGGAUAGGACGAUGUUUUGGAUGCCAUUGUGGAAAGUUUUUCGGUGUGGGAUGAGCUCGCGGCCUAUCAGCUUGUUGGUGGGGUAAUGGCCUACGAAGGCGUCGACGGGUAGCCGGCCUGAGAGGGUGUACGGCCACAUUGGGCCUGAGAGACGGCGCAGACUCCUACGGGAGGCAGCAGUGGGGAACCUUGCACAAUGGGGGCACGUCUGAUGCAGCGAUGCCGCGUGGGGGAUGAUGGCCUUCGGGUUGUAAACUUCUUUCGAUAGGGACGAAGAGCAAGUGACGGUACCUGGAGAAGAAGCACCGGCUAACUACGUG